CUUGGUGACAAUAGCUUUGUGGAACCACCUGAUCCCAUACCGAACUCAGAAGUGAAACGCAAACGCGCCGAUGGUAGUGUGGGGUCUCCCCAUGUGAGAGUAGGUCAUCGCCAAGC
rnacentral:rRNA from 1 species